UGUAGACAGGAUCUAAGAGUUAACAGC
rnacentral:piRNA from 1 species